GGAGGCUGACGUGGCAUCAAGUUUACAGUGUCUGCCAGCUGUGAGUAACAGCAGGCUGUCAUGACGGGAUAGAACAGAAGCAGCAGCAGCAACUCCUGAUUUAGGGGCAAAAGAUUAAAGGAAUGGGAUCACACCUCAGCUGCUGAGCUGUCCCUGGCAAGAGUAAGCAGUCGUUAAGUCACAAGGCUCAGGGAUCCAUCUGAUGUGCAUCUAGGUGGGUGUUCACAUUCAUCAGCGUUAAUCUGGAGAAUAAAAUAACUACACAACUGACUCAAAGCAAGAG